CUGGCGGCGUGCCUAACACAUGCAAGUCGAACGGAGAUUAGACGCUGACGAGACUUCGGUCAAAUCUGUUUAAUCUUAGUGGCGGACGGGUGAGUAACGCGUGGGCAACCUGCCUCAUACUGGGGGAUAGCAGUUGGAAACGACUGAUAAUACCGCAUAAGCGCACAGCAUCGCAUGAUGCAGUGUGAAAAACUCCGGUGGUAUGAGAUGGGCCCGCGUCAGAUUAGCUAGUUGGUAAGGUAACGGCUUACCAAGGCGACGAUCUGUAGCCGGACUGAGAGGUCGGACGGCCACAUUGGGACUGAGACACGGCCCAAACUCCUACGGGAGGCAGCAGUGGGGGAUAUUGCACAAUGGAGGAAACUCUGAUGCAGCGACGCCGCGUGAAGUGAAGAAGUAUUUCGGUAUGUAAAGCUCUAUCAGCAGGGAAGAAAGACUCGCAAGAGAGAUGACGGUACCUGACUAAGAAGCCCCGGCUAACUACGUGCCAGCCGCCGC
rnacentral:rRNA from 1 species